rnacentral:lncRNA from 1 species
AUGCAGAAGCCAGGAAGGCAGAAAUCACUGCGGCAAAGCAGGUGUGAACGUCCCCCCACUUCAGAGGCAGCGCUCUUUGAAGCUGGAAAAUCAAGGACACUGGUACCUUCAAGGAAACAAGGAUAUAAUUAUCACAACACCCAAUUGGCCAGUGGCCUUCCAUUCCUCAGGCCUGCCCUACUCCCUUCGCUGGCAUCCGCCCAGGUCCUCACAGACUGAGCUCUGUGUCCCAGAUCGCUCAGCUGGAGGAGCAGCCCACUCCCGCACCCUUUGAAAGUGUUCUUAAUCUCUUUCUACUGCGCUGCGCUUGCUGACAUAAAUCCACCAGCCCAGGGCGCCUCCGAGCCCCCCACAGAGGGAGGCCCUUCAGGCCAAGUGGAGUCUGAGCAGCAAAGGCUCAGAAUUUAUGCUUCCUCUCACCUGUGCGGUCUGUCUGCGGCCCCGACUCCAGGCGGUUUUUGAAGGUUUGAUUAGAACCUUCCAGCUCCUCGCCAAGCCUGCCAUCAUCACCUUAGUCACAGAAGCAGACUUCUCAAGGCCGUUGGAAGUGAAUAACAGGGACUGUCAGCUUCAUUAUUAUAUUUGAAAUGUUGAAAGCAGAAGCCUAAUAAAAUAAGUUCAGAAAAACAGAAAGAGCCAUAAAUUAUCAUUUGAAUGGAGUGGCUAAAGAACUCCUUUACUCAAAAUACCUGGGGGCUAUUUCUCAAUUAUAGCAAUAAUCCAGUAUUUGGUUUCCUUCCCUUCACGGUGCAAGAGCCUUCUCUUAGCGCUGAUUAUUUUCUGCUUUUGUGAUCAAGUGUCUAGAAUCAAGAGUUACACAACAAACACUCCCUAUCCAACUCCUUCACACACGCACACACAGAAACACUCAUACACUCAUACUCCCCACCCAGCCUUGGUCCUAAAAUGUUAAGUUGCUCAGUUGUGUCCAACUCUUUGCAAUCCCAUGGACUAUAGCCCACCAGUCUCCUCUGUCCAUGGAAUUCUCCAGGCAAGAAUACUGGAGUGAGCAGUCAUUCCCUUCUCCAGAGGCUCUUUCCGAACCAGGGAUUAAACCCAGGUUUCCUGCAUUGCAGGCAGAUUCUUUACCAUCUGAGCUGACAGGGUCCUUAGGGGUCUACUGAAGUGUAC